UGGGGAAUUUUGGACAAUGGGGGAAACCCUGAUCCAGCCAUCCCGCGUGUUCGAUGAAGGCCUUCGGGUUGUAAAGCACUUUUGGCAGGAAAGAAACGUCAUGGGUUAAUACCCCGUGAAACUGACGGUACCUGCAGAAUAAGCACCGGCUAACUACGUGCCAGCAGCCGCGGUAAUACGUAGGGUGCAAGCGUUAAGCGGAAUUACUGGGCGUAAAGCGUGCGCAGGCGGUUCGGAAAGAAAGAUGUGAAAUCCCAGAGCUCAACUUUGGAACUGCAUUUUUAACUACCGGGCUAGAGUGUGUCAGAGGGAGGUGGAAUUCCGCGUGUAGCAGUGAAAUGCGUAGAUAUGCGGAGGAACACCGAUGGCGAAGGCAGCCUCCUGGGAUAACACUGACGCUCAUGCACGAAAGCGUGGGGAGCAAACAGG
rnacentral:rRNA from 1 species